rnacentral:lncRNA from 1 species
AAAGGCGGCUAACAAUCUCCACCUUGAAAAUACAAUAAAAAAAAAAAAACACAACACUGUCUGCUACCGACAAUCAUAAUUCUUAUCGUCAAGAAUUAUCAUACUCCACCAUAAAAGAGUAUCGCCACUUGGAACCACUUUACCGACUCCAAGAAUUUUCCAUCGGCCAUGUCGGAUCCCGCUAAUAGUUUAUGGUGCAACCCUCCUGUUGACUUUUCCGAGAGUUCAUUAGCCAUCGACAUAUUUUUUUUCCACCACACACUUUGCAUCAACUGUCAACCAAUGCCGUGCGCAUUUCNN